rnacentral:rRNA from 1 species
GACGAACGCUGGCGGCGUGCUUAACACAUGCAAGUCGAACGGGCCCGCCCCUGUUUUUGGGGGUGGGUUGAGUGGCGAACGGGUGAGUAUCACGUGAGUAACCUGCCCCCUGCUCCUGGAUAACUGCUUGAAAGGGCGGCUAAUACGGGGUGUGCCGGCUGGUCCGCAUGGGCCUGGUCGGGAUAGUUUCAUCUUCGGGUGUUUCGGUGGGGGAUGGGCUCGCGGCCUAUCAGCUUGUUGGUGGGGUGAUGGCCCACCAAGGCGGUGACGGGUAGCCGGCCUGAGGGGGUGGGCGGCCAAACUGGGACUGAGACACGGGCCAGACUCCUGCGGGAGGCAGCAGUGGGGGGUAUUGCACAAUGGGCGGAAGCCUGAUGCAGCGACGGCGCGUGAGGGAUGGAGGCCUUCGGGUUGUGAACCUCUUUCUCCGGUGGUGAAGGCCCUGUCCGUUGCGGCGGGGUUGACGGUAGCCGGGUAUGAAGCGCCGGCUAACUACGUG